GAUGAACGCUGGCUACAGGCUUAACACAUGCAAGUCGAGGGGAAACGACGGGGAAGCUUGCUUCCCCGGGCGUCGACCGGCGCACGGGUGAGUAACGCGUAUCCAACCUGCCUCUGACUGAGGGAUAACCCGUCGAAAGUCGGCCUAAUACCUCAUGGCAUCGUCUGCGGGCAUCCAACGACGAUUAAAGAUUUCAUCGGUCAGAGAUGGGGAUGCGUCUGAUUAGCUUGUUGGCGGGGUAACGGCCCACCAAGGCGACGAUCAGUAGGGGUUCUGAGAGGAAGGUCCCCCACAUUGGAACUGAGACACGGUCCAAACUCCUACGGGAGGCAGCAGUGAGGAAUAUUGGUCAAUGGGCGAGAGCCUGAACCAGCCAAGUAGCGUGCAGGAGGACGGCCCUAUGGGUUGUAAACUGCUUUUAUGCGGGGAUAAAGUGAGGGACGUGUCCUUCAUUGCAGGUACCGAAUGAAUAAGGACCGGCUAAUUCCGUG
rnacentral:rRNA from 1 species